rnacentral:rRNA from 1 species
CCUACGGGCGGCAGCAGUGGGGAAUACUGCACAAUGGGCGCAAGCCUGAUGCAGCCAUGCCGCGUGUAUGAAGAAGGCCUUCGGGUUGUAAAGUACUUUCAGCGGGGAGGAAGGCGAUAAGGUUAAUAACCUUGUCGAUUGUCGUUACCCGCAGAAGAAGCACCGGCUAACUCCGUGCCAGCAGCCGCGGUAAUACGGAGGGUGCAAGCGUUAAUCGGAAUUACUGGGCGUAAAGCGCACGCAGGCGGUCUGUCAAGUCGGAUGUGAAAUCCCCGGGCUCAACCUGGGAACUGCAUUCGAAACUGGCAGGCUGGAGUCUUGUAGAGGGGGGUAGAAUUCCAGGUGUAGCGGUGAAAUGCGUAGAGAUCUGAAGGAAUACCAGUGGCGAAGGCGGCCCCCUGGACAAAGACUGACGCUCAGAUGCGAAAGCGUGGGGAGCAAACAGGAUUAGAUACCCUCGUAGUC